AAAGGCCGAUUGCCGCUAGAAAUAAGAUUCUCUAGCGGCAGUCGUUUAAAACUAUCACUAUAGAAUAAUCGAUUGCCACUAAAAGUUGUGGCGCAAAUGAGGGCUUCUCACUCUUUCUGCUCUCUUUCCCUCUUGCGCGAUCUCUCUCACAGUCGACGUCAACCUCUCACCACCAAACGACAUCCAAGGACACCUAUUAAUCUCUUUCUCUCUAUCUCCCCUUUCUCAUUCUCUGCUCGCUCUCUUUCAGUCUCUCUCUCACGCGAUCUCUCUCUCACAAUCGACGUCGACCUCUCACCACUAGAUGGCAUCCAAGGACACCAGCAUCAAUAGGACACCAACAUCACUAGGUAAACUCCAAAGGUUUAGAAGGAAUCACUGGUUUUGGGCGUACAAGCUGUAAGUUUUGGGACACUGCUGGAUUUAAUUUUAAACUAGGGUUUUUCUUUUAGUUCUAGUAAAGAAUGUUUUUUCUUUUUAAUGUUGUAUUUGUUGCAAGCGACCAUGGAGAUUCCAGUGAGCAAGGAUACACCACAAAAGGUUACUCUAAAAUUGGUGACACUAGGGAAAGCACUUCAAUUAGUAUGUUUUUUUUUUUUUUUUUUCUAUUAAUUUACUAUGUAGAAGAAUAACAAUCCUAGCAAAAAUGUUGAAUCAAAUUUUAUCCUCUUUUGUUUGCAUAAGUGUUUAAUCGGCUAUGUUUAAUCGGCUACUGCAGAAAUAACAAAAGUAAAUUGGUUUUUUGUUAUUUUGCUAUGCUUAGAUAGAGAAUACCAUCUAUAAUGAGAAGCCAUAAAAGACUUAGAUGUUAUUGACCUGAUUUGAUGCAGUAAGGUUGGACAUUAUGUGAGAAAUAAACCAGGACUAUGUUAUAGAGAACACAGAUCCUCCUCUAUGUGUAUGAAUAUGUGCUCUUACAGAAAUUCAUGCUUGUUUGUUGAUCCAUAUGUCCGGUCAAGCAUAUAGCAGAUAGCUUGGUGAAAUGGAUUAUUUAAAUUUCUAUUUCCAUGUGGAUUUAAUGAUUGUGUGUGCUUUUUAGGUGAAGUAUUUUGUUAUUUGGUAAAACUAUUAUAAUUUUUUUUCUUAAUUCUGAUUCAAAGUGGAUGUUAUUUGAGUAUUCCACCUAGGAAAAUAACUUGGAGAUUUCAGGUUUUAUUUCUCUUUUUUGGUAAAUUUUCACUGCCUGGGUGACUUGCAAACAAUGUGCCCCUGUUUUUUCCAUACUAGCCCAUUACAACUUGAAAACUGUGGCUCAGAGCUAUAGAUAAGGGGAAAAGAAACUAGAGAGGGAAAAAGAGAAAACUGAAAUGAAAUUAAGAGGGAGAGAUUCAAGGUUAGGAAGCGUAUACCAAGUGAUAGAAUUUUUGUUCAUACUCUGAAUUCUGAAAUCAACUUUUGUAGGCAAUAAAGAAAUACCAUGUCCAAAAAAUAAGUACAACUGAGGUGGAUGUCAUAUCAAAAUGAGACAGUUAUUGCCUUGAUGUCAGAUCAGAAUGAGGGUGUCUUUUGCAUUGAUUAACUGAAAAUAUUGACUUCUAAAGAGUCAAAAACAGAAAACACUCAAUAUUACAUACAGAGUUGGCCAGAUAUGAAAAUCUACCAAAUUACUAACUUCCCCCAUCCAUACCCUCAUCUGGCCUCAUUACAGAAAGAGAUGAUUAGGUACCAGAGAAAGGAUAGUGUUAAACUUACUGCAACACUAUAUUUGCCUCUAGGAUAUGAUCCCUCUAAAGAUGGUCCCCUUCCAUGUCUUGUGUGGUCUUACCCUGGAGAUUUUAAAAGAAAAGAUGCCGUUGGACAGAUCUUUGGUUCUCCUAAUGAGUUUGCAGGCAUAGGCCCAACAUCAACCCUUCUUUGGCUGGCCAGAAGAUUUGCUAUUCUAUCUGGUCCAACAAUACCAAUUAUUGGUGAGGGUGAUGAAGAGGCAAAUGACAGGCAAUCUGAUUCCCAUCUUUCCAGGAAAGGUAUGUGGAGCAUCUAGUUGCUAGUGAUGAAGCUGUAGUCGAGGAAGUUAUAUGGCGGGGGUGGCUCAUCCAAACAAAAUUGUUGUUGGAGAUCAUUCUUAUAGGGCAUUCAUGACUGCAAAUCUCCUAGCACAUGCUCCUCAUCUCUUCUAUUAUGGAAUUUCUCGCUUUGGACUUACAAUAGAACACUUACUCCUUCUAGUUUUCAGACUAUGCUAGAGAAGUUAAAGACAUUGUAUUCAAACUUGGAAGGACUUCCUCUUGAUCGUAUAGUUCCAACUAUUGGCCUCAAUAUAGGUUGUAUUGAAGCAUCAAAUACAAAAUUUGUCUUCUAGGACCUGGGAGGUCAAAACUCUAUGAGAUUUUGAUGCCUAAUAGUUGACAUUGAUGGGGUAAGCAAAGAGGAGUUACAAAGAAACUGGCUGCAUAUUGUACAACCUAUCAUCAAUCUCUUACAAUUCGGCUUGAGGAGAUGAGAGUCAAAAGGCAUGAUUCAGAGCAAUGGGGUUGCUGCCACAAGAGCUCCGUGAGCGAGUUAGAUGGUACGAUCAGUACAAGUGGUUGGAAACAUGAGGGGAAGAUGAAGAAAGAUUGGUUCAAACCCUACUGAAUUCUUGUACAAAUCAAGAGUUUAUCAAAUUAAAAUUAAGAUGUAUUUGUGAUUCAAAUAUUUUGA